CUAAGUUUGAUGGCGACCGGCGCACGGGUGAGUAACACGUAUCCAACCUGCCGAUGACUCGGGGAUAGCCUUUCGAAAGAAAGAUUAAUACCCGAUGGCAUAGUUCUUCCGCAUGGUAGAACUAUUAAAGGAUUUCGGUCAUCGAUGGGGAUGCGUUCCAUUAGGUUGUUGGUGGGGUAACGGCCCACCAAGCCUUCGAUGGAUAGGGGUUCUGAGAGGAAGGUCCCCCACAUUGGAACUGAGACACGGUCCAAACUCCUACGGGAGGCAGCAUG
rnacentral:rRNA from 1 species